rnacentral:rRNA from 1 species
GCGCAGCAGGCGCGAAACUUUACAAUGUGCGAAGCACGAUAAGGGAACUCUGAGUGCCUCCUAAGGAGGCUGUUCUGAUGUCUAAAAGCAACAGAAGUAAGGGCUGGGUAAGACCGGUGCCAGCCGCCGCGGUAACACCGGCAGCCCAAGUGGUAGCCACGUUUAUUGGGUCUAAAAGCGUUCGUAGCCGGCCAGGUAAGUUCCUUGGUAAAUUUAGCCGCUUAACGGUUAAGCUUUCGAGGGAAUACUGCUUGGCUUGGGACUGGGAGAGGUCAGGAGGUACUCCGGGGGUAGGGUGAAAUCUAUUAAUCCCUGGGGACCACCGGUAGCGAAGGCGUCUGACCAGACCAGGUCCGACGGUGAGGGACGAAGGCUAGGGGCGCGAACCGGAUUAGAUACCCGUGUAGU